AGGACGAACGCUGGCGGCGUGCUUAACACAUGCAAGUCGAGCGGAAAGGCCCUUCGGGGUACUCGAGCGGCGAACGGGUGAGUAACACGUGGGCAACCUGCCCCUAGCUCUGGGAUAACUCCGGGAAACCGGUGCUAAUACCGGAUACGACCUCAUUGGGCAUUCUUUGAGGUGGAAAGAUUUAUUGGCUAGGGAUGGGCCCGCGGCCUAUCAGCUUGUUGGUGGGGUAACGGCCUACCAAGGCGACGAC
rnacentral:rRNA from 1 species